UACUACUUGUGUGUGUUACUCUUCCAAUUAAUGCUAUGGAAUCAAGAAAGCUUGUUGAGAAGUGCACACCAUGUGGUGACACUCCAAUAUAUUCACCACCUCCAAUAAUAUACAAUUCACCACCACCACCAAUUGUGUAUCCAUCACCACCACCACCAUCUCCGUCACCGCCGCCAAUAGUAUACUAUUCACCACCACCACCUUCACCUAAGAAACCUCCCUCGGCAAAUUGUCCUCCACCACCAUCAUCACCAUCAUC
rnacentral:lncRNA from 1 species